rnacentral:rRNA from 1 species
GAUGAACGCUAGCUACAGGCUUAACACAUGCAAGUCGAGGGGUAACGAGAGGAAAGCUUGCUUUCCUUGUCGACGACCGGCGCACGGGUGAGUAACGCGUAUCCAACCUGCCCCCAACUAGGGAAUAACCUUGCGAAAGUAAGGCUAAUACCCUAUAAUUUCCUCAGAUGACAUCUGACGAGGAAUAAAGAUUUAUCGGUUGUGGAUGGGGAUGCGUCUGAUUAGCUUGUUGGCGGGGUAACGGCCCACCAAGGAAACGAUCAGUAGGGGUUCUGAGAGGAAGGUCCCCCACAUUGGGACUGAGACACGGUCCAAACUCCUACGGGAGGCAGCAGUGAGGAAUAUUGGUCAAUGGGCGGAAGCCUGAACCAGCCAAGUAGCGUGCAGGAUGACGGCCCUAUGGGUUGUAAACUGCUUUUAUACAGGAAUAAAGUUAGCCACGUGUGGUUAUUUGUAGGUACUGUAUGAAUAAGGACCGGCUAAUUCCGUGCCAGCCGCCGCGGUAA